ACUGCACGAGAACUUUGAAUUAUUUGUUUAAUUUUGAGGAACAGAGAAAAGUCACGGAAACCAGAUAACGUUCCUUCUGAUACAUUCGAAUACUCACAAGGUGCGAAAAUAGCUUGUGAAAAUGGAAUACUUGUGACAAGAACAACGAAUAAAUUAUUACAUGUUACGAGUAUAGUACUCGAACCGUGUGAAGUGAACUUUCAACUAUUGGACUUGAACUCGUCACUAGAAAAAAUCUUCACAACUUGACAAUUUUAGCUGUUUGAGCUUGAGAUUCCAGUUGCCGAUAAGUAUUAUCUCAAUCGUAAAAGUAUAGCAAAGACAGAUGGAGGAUAUAAAAUGCGAACUUACCUGCGUAUGGGCCACACGGUGAUGCAUUGUCCUUUCCACUUUUGCCAUCCUUGCUGCCGCUUCCUGAAACAGCCGAAAACCAGUGCUGGUCUAAGAAAAUGGAAAACAUUGUUUUCUUUCGAAUUAUACGGCUGAACGGAAUGGGAAACCACAGAUCACUACGCAAAAGCUAGCGAAAAAUAAAUGCAGUUAAAAAGUGUAACGUGGAAGAGGAGAAACGCGCGUACGAAGGACAUAAGCGAGUACCAGAUCACUCGUAUAGCAACGUUUGCAGAUAAUCUUCAAGUACAGCGCGUGUUCCCCUUGAAAAUUCACCAAAUAAAAUCCAGAGGCUGCCGCAUGCCAGCGGCUAGCUUUGGAUGACAGGACACGAGAUCUUUGCCAACAGCUUUAACUUUGUAAACGACGCGACGAUUGGAAAUAAAAUUGUUGGAAAGUCUGGCCGAUCUGUGUCUUUAGUUUCUACCGAAGGCGCCGUUUCAAUUCAACGCUUCUGUCCUAUUUGCUUCGUUUUGUGGAAUAACGUCACGGAAGUUAUCUUUACCGUGCAACUGUUGGAAAUAUUAUCGAAAAUUUUCUAGAUAUUGUACGAAUUCUAUGUACGUUUUAACUAAAGCAAAUCACCUAAACAUCUGACUUAUAGGCGUAUACGUAUGAAGAAUCUUCUCAAGACAGAGUUCAACCGCUUCAAGGGACACAUAUAACGAAUGGAUUUUUCCUCAAGGUCAUCUCUUCACGAAAUUUCAAGACAUUUUUAUUUUCCACGCAAAGAUAUUCAAGUAUUUGUGUCUGAAAAUUCCUGGUUGAAAUUUUUAUAUUUUAAUCCUAAAUUUGUAACACUUUCGGGUCGUGUGAAAGACAAAGAGAGAGGCAAAGUGACGCUCUUACGUUUCUGUUUUCCCUUCUUGUCUCUGUUCUCUUCCUUUCGUACACUACAUUUCAAUUAAAAUCGAAAUAUCUUUUAAACUCUUCAUUUCAUAAAUACCCAUAAAUACUUUAAUACUUUUGCGCGGAGAAUACAAAAUUACAUUCAUAGUGCGAAUAAUUCUAUAUUCUAUUUAGGAAAUACCGAUGACCUUGAAAUCUCCUUCCUUAAAGAGAAGAACAGGGAAAGAGAAGAAAAGGGG